rnacentral:piRNA from 1 species
UGUCUAUGAUGAACGGUGAGAGG